UGGAACUUAGCUUACAAGAACCGCUGAAACCUGGGAAACUGAUCCGACUAGAUGGAAAGAACAUAUGGCUUGACUUUCGAUAUGAACGUUUAUCCCACCAUUGCUAUUCUUGUGGUAUUCUUGGCCAUUAUGCAACGUACUAUACAGCUAUUCCCUUUGAUGAGACUAAACUUGAAGGGAAAGAUAAGUUCAACAAUGGUCAAUGGUUAAGAGCAGAAGUACGAGAACACAGUCCAUAUUGGCGAGCCUUUUAUGAGUUAGAUCCUACUCAAGAUGGAACAGAAGAAAUCAUAUCUGAAACUCCUCAGAAUUCAACUCUUUUAUUACCUCUCACUCUUCACAACUCUAAUCAACAACAAGCAAAUAUGGAAGUCAGAAAAAAUCAACUUGGUGAUCAAUCUACCUUUACUGUUGCUCCCCAAGAAGAUAUGGCGCUCAAGCUGAAGGCUCCUAUUCCAAAUCAGCAUGAAAUUAUUAAGGAUCCCGACGCAGGUUCCUCCAAAUCAAAGAAACCUAAGAAUUCCAGGCUACAUAUCAAAGCAAGUCCUCUUAAGAAAGCUAAAAGGUAUGCUCCUUAUGAAUCGCGCUCUAUGCUCACUGAAGAAAUUGAUGACUCCCAUCUUAUGGAUAAUCCGAUUUAUGAGGUCGACAUGGCUAAUAGUUGGGCUAUGGUGGCUUGCCCCCAAAAAGCCACCAAGUGACAAAUGAAGCUAAUUAGCUGGAACUAUCAGGGUUUGGGCAAUCUCCUAACAGUUCAAGUGCUACGAGCCCUAGUGGCCCAUGAAAUGCCCGAUGUAGUCUUUUUAAUGGAAACCAAAAAUCAGGACAUAGUAAUCCAGAAAAUUAAGCAAAGGUUGAAAUUCCCAAAAUCUUUUAUGGUGAGCCCAAUGGGUUUGGCUAUGGGAUGGUAAUUUUCUGGAUUGAUCAAGUAUCAUUAUGUAUAGAGAGACAUAGUAUGCAUUUUAUAGAUAUGAUAUGUACUAUUGGCCCGAGUGGACACCCAAUGAGAAUUACCUGUCUUCAUGCGGUAGUGGUAUAUCAGUUACGACAGAAUCUUUGGGCUGAAAUGUGUCACCUCAGCUACGCCAAUAACCUGCCAUGGAUGUGCAUUGGAGAUUUUAAUGAGAUAUUAUACCAUUGGGAGAAAGUGGACAAGAGAAUGGAUGAGCCCUACAGAUUGCAAUCUUUCCGGGAUUUUAUAAAUGAGUGUUUGUUAAUGGAUAUUGAGAGUAAGGGAUGUGCUUUCACAUGGGUGAACAACAGAGAUGGGGAGGAUGUGGUUAAGGAAAGACUAGACAGGGCACUAUGUACGAUGGAGUGGAGAUUGUCUUACCCCAAUUGCCGAAGUCUUUGCAUUACCAGCUCUAGGUUCUGAUCACAGCCCGUUGUUACUAAUUACUGAUCCCAAACCACUAAGUAAGUGCAAAUUUUUCACUUUUGAAGCUUUUUGGCUUCAAAAUCAAAACUGCCGAAAGGUUGUCACUAAGACUUGGGCCUUUGAAUAGCUACCGGACUCCUCUUUAGCUUGCAAGCUUCAGGUAACUUCUCAGGCACUUGAUAGGUGGAGUAAAUCAACGUUUUCCAACAGUCGUCGUCAGAUCCAUAUCCUACAACAGCAAAUCCAGCAGCAUAUCAAUCAAACAGGACAUAACUAUGAUAAAGCAAGGUAAAUCGCCUCAAAGAUGAAGUUCAACAAUUAUGGCAACCGGAAGAGCGAUAUUGGACAAUGAGGUCACGCAUUAACUGAUUGAGGUGGGGGGGGGGGACAAGAAUACCAAAUUUUUUCAUGCGACUACUAUACAAAAAUGACAAAACAAUCGUAUCAGUAUGCUUCAUGAUGAGGAUCAAGGCGAAUCAGAGACUCUGAAAAACUGAAAAACAUAACCAUGGAUUUCUUUCGCAACCUCUAUCGAUCAGCAGGACACCGAGAUUAUCUUCCUAUUCUAACACAAUGCCCCCAGAUGGUCACAGCAUAGAUGAAUGCAACCCUAAUAGCAGAGGAAUCUCGAGAAGAAGUUAAACAAGCUACAUUUCAAGUAGGGGCAACAAAAGCCCCGGGAUUGGAUGGCUUUAAUGAGUUGUUCUAUCAUACUUACUGGGAUGUUCUACAAGAAGACAUAUUUACCUUUGUGCAAGAAUUUUUCACUUCAGGUGUGAUGCCCCCAGUUUUUAAUAGAACACUUAUUACUCUAAUCCGUAAGACAUCACAUGCUGAAAGGUUAGAUCAAUACCAUCCCAUCAGCCUGUGUAAUUUCAUAUAUAAUAUAAUUUCAAAAGUGCUGGCUAAUCGCUUGAAACCUUGGUUACCUGAGUUGAUCUCCAAGGAAUAGAGUGCCUUCAUGACUGGUCGACAAAUCCAAGAUAACGUUUUGGUAGUCCAAGAGGUCCUGCAUUAGAUAAAAAUCAGGUCAAUAAAGAAACAUUUUCAGGCCAUACUAAAGCUGGAUAUGAAGAAAGCAUAUGAUUGGAUUGAGUGGGAUUUUCUAGAGGCUUAUUUGCGACAACUGGGUUUUCACAAUACAUGGGUUAAAUGGGUAAUACAAUGCAUAACCACAGUAUCCUUAAGUAUCAAAUUAAAUGGUGAGCCAUUACCCUACUUCUAUCCUACUAGGGGGCUUCGACAUGGAGACCCUCUUUCUCCAUAUAUAUUCAUCCUUGUAGCAAAUGUCCUAUCUAUCCUCAUCAAGCAAGCAGUCGACAUGGGAAAUUUGAAAGGGAUAAAAUUCAACAGGUGCUGUCCUACCCUCUCUCAUUUGUUCUUUGUUGAUGAAGCAAUAUUUUUCUUAGAUGGCCGUCUCCUUGAAUGCCAAAAUUUAGCGAAUAUCUUUACGGGCCAGCUGUGAAUAGAAAUAAAUCCGGUCUCUUCCUUAGUGAAGCUUCUCCAAGAACUCUACAGUAGAACCUAGUUAGAGAAUUGAGAGUACCCGUGCUUGAAAAAACCGGGAAAUACUUAGGAAUACCGUCGGAUUGGGGGGUGUCUAAAAAGGAUAUGUUUGCUUGGAUCUUAGGGUGGGUUAGUGCGAAGUUGGCGGGCUAGAAAGAAAAACUCAUAUCUAAAGGUGGGAAGGAAAUACUGUUAAAAUCUGUGGUUUAGGCUCUCCCAUAGUACGCCAUGUCAAUCUUUAAGAUUCCAGUAUCGAUCUGCAAAUCCAUUGAACAGAAGAUAGCUAAGUUUUGGUGGCAAAAUCAUAAACUAGAUUGGGAAUCCAUUAAAAGGGUUGGGACCUACUUAAAGAGCGUAAGGAAAAUGGGGGGCUUGGUUUUCGUGAUUUACUUGCUUUCAAUAAAGCACUUUUGGGUAAACAAGCAUGGCGUCUUCUCCAAAAUCCAUCACCCUUGUGGAGCCGACUAUUCAGAGGUCUAUAUUUUCAUUCUGCUGACUUCUGGCAUGCGACUAAAGGACAUAGACCAUCCUGGGGCUGGCAAAGCCUUCUCUUAGGUCGUGAUUCCAUUUUACCUCGGCUCCAAUGGUAUGUAGGUAAUGGGAAGAAUAUUUUCAUUAGAAAGGACAAAUGGUUAUCUAGAGGAAUUAUUGGGGGACCUGCAAAUAGAGGGGAUCCAGAGAUGGUGGCUGAUUUUUUACAUUUAGAACAGUCUACUUGGAAUGUUCCUCUUCUUAGGAGAAGUUUUGAUGACCAAAUAGUUGAAGAUAUUACUGCUAUACACCUAGGUCCAAUGUCCACUAUAGAUCAAAUUAUUUGGACAAGCACGCCAACAGGAGAGUAUACGGUGAAAAACGGCUACCACUACCUUCGACAUACAACCCCACUUAAUGAUCCUAACUCUGCAUCUACAUCAUAUCACACACCAUCCCGAUUAUGGAGACAGGUCUGGACUACAAAGACUUCCUCAAAAAUUCGAAUUUUCUUGUGGUCCCUCUACCACAACGCGUUUGCUACAAGGGAUAACCUAUACCGACGACACAUCCUUCCUAAUUCGAUCUGUCAAUUAUGCCUAGCUCAACUCCCUAAAACCACAAAACAUCUUUUUCUCCUCUGCCCAUGGACUCAGAGUAUAUGGUCCCAUCCCAAAGUCAACCUUGACAUCUCAGUGUACAAUACAAAUCGUAUGGAUGCUUGGCCAGCAGAUAUAUUCGCAAGUGGAAUUAUUGUACUUGAUCUAGAAACAAUUGCAUCCCUCCUUUGGUAGAUAUGGAAAGCUAGAAAUCAUGUAAUCUUUAGAAAUCAACGAAUAACGCCUGCACAGCUUGUAGAUUUGGCGUUCAUAGAUGCAGAGCUUCAUCGUUGGUUUCGGUAGACGGCAUAAAAAACAGAAACAGGGAAAACGUCAGUUUGUAACUCUCGGCGGUGGACUCUCCUGGAUCCAGGUAUUAUAAAGGUAAACAUCGAUGGGGCUUUUCCCAUAACAACAAAAAUAGGAUCCAUGGCAUGCGUUUGUAGUGAUCAUGCUGGGCAAUUGAUUGAUGGAUUCUCUCGGAUUGUACUAGCUCUCUCCCCACUACAAUUGGAAACUCAAGCCCUAAAUAUGACUCUAAAAUACCUGCUACAGCAAGGCAUGGGAGAAGCUCACGUACAGGUUGAAUCAGAUUGUUUAGUGCUUGUCGAAGUCGUUAAUGAUCGCUGAUCGCCACCAUGGGACUGUUGAACGCUGUUCGUGGAGAGCGCCGCUUUGAUCUCGCGUUUUCCUCAUCUGAGUAUCCGAUACUGCAGGCGUGAAGCUAACACAAUUGCAGAUUGAGUUGCCAAGGCCC
rnacentral:lncRNA from 1 species